ACAUAUUUUUAAAAAGACACUCCCUGAGAGUCCCCAGUUCAGAACUCUCCUGUUGGUUGAAAGUGCAUUCAAUGAUAGCAACCAGGUAAUUUUAUGUGCUAUCUGCUGUACACCGAGUGCUGUUGCCAGUACCAGGGAGAUGGCAGUAAGCGAGAGGGAAACCCGCCCCCACCCAUGGAGCCCACAUUCCCACCACCCGUCCUUACACUGACCCAUCCUUGGCAGCCUGAGGCCGGCCAUGACUCCCAGAUCAUUUUCUCUGUCCCUCAUCAGAGCCAGGAUUUCUGACAUGCCAUGGGGUUUACCUUCCUUUAACUUUCUGCUUCGUCCCUGGACCUUUACUCAUGGUUGAUACUGGGUCAAUUUUCACACUUUGAUGUCUAUAAUUUAAAAUUUAUGGAAGAACCAAAAUGAACGCCCUACCUCCCAAGGCGUCGGCGCCAUUCUCAAAGCACACAUACCACAAAGUAUAUGUCAUGUUUUGGGCACAGGUGAAAACAUGAGAAUAGGCUUGAGUUUCAGCGAAUGACAGUCAUUUAUUCCACCCAUAGGUAGUGAUGGAGUGUCAGGCACUAUUUUAGGUGUGUGGUUAGUCGCUUGGGAAAAAAUAGAUAAAAACGAUUGUCCCCAUGGAAUCGAUAGCAUGGUGACAAUGUUCUCCUCUGAAACUUGCACUGUUUCCUACCAGCCAUGUGGCAUGGGAGUUCUCAGGCACAGCGGAAACAGAGAGAGGGAGACUCGGGAGAAGAAAUGGAAUACCUGCUCUGUGGCCAACUCCGGCACGGCUGCCUGUCUACCAGCUUGAGACUCCAGAAUGAAAUAGGAAAGCCAAUAAAAGGAUGGAGGAAUCAAAAGGGAGGGAGUGUGGGAAGUGCAGCAGAUACUCUAACACUCCCCAUCCACUCAGAAGUUGGGGUGUGAAGUGAAAAAAACAAAAGAACAUCACUGUAUUAUGAUAGAAAUGUCUCUGACUCAUGGUGGCCAGCCCCCAGCUCCUCACUGGGUUCCUGUCGAGGGGAAGGCAUGCUAGAUGCCAAGAAAAAUACUGAGAACAUACAGGGGGGUAGCUGCCUUUGGAAUCCUGCUAUCUCAUCGCAGACCCGAUCACGAGCUGGCACAGGUUACAUCCACAUCACUCAUAAUGCACUGAUGUCAUCGUUAUAUGAACAGCUACUAAGUGGUACUCAAUUUCAGUGCCGUGGACCAUGGAAAUUCUGAGUGGCUAUGGUUGCUUCAGAAGAAGGAAAGGGAAGAAAUGCAAAAAUUCUACUUAAAGUUUUUGAGAUGUUCACAUUGAUACUGAUAAACUAAUAUUUGGGCCAUUUUUUUUUAGUUGUGGAUAAAUUGUACAUUUUGUCCCUCUGUCUCCCUAGUCCUGCUGGAAGAUCAUAAAAGUACCAGAAUUUCAGGCUGGAAGGACCUUUGGGGAAAACGUGGUCUAAUACUCUUCUCGAUUCAGGAACGCCUCUGCCUCUCUCCAGCUAGGUGGGAACUUGGCCUUCCAGCAAAACUCUGGUGCCAUGAAACUGAGGGCCUGCUGAGGCAGCCCCUUCUAUAGGCACAAAGCUUUCUUAGAAAAUUCUACCCCUCAUACUGAGCCAGCAUUUGCCUUACCAUAACCUCCAAGCAGCAGUACAAUGUUGCAUUCCCGAGACAAAGCAAACUAGAAUUUCAUUUAGUAACUGAGCUGCCAGGGAAGCUGCAGAUCUCUUCUUCCUGGGCAAGCUUCAGAGAGCCUGGGCUGGGGGAGUGCAGGGAGGUGGAGGGCUAACUCACCUCUCCUCACAGCUGGCCUCCGGGGCUCAUCUGUGAAAGGAACAGCACCUGCCACUGCCAUAUUUAGAAACGCUGUGUGUCAGCACCUCCAAAGGGCACAGACACAGUGAGUUAAUGCUCACCGCCAUCACUCUUCCCCAGACCUUCACACCCCACUCAUAAAAAAGGAACAAAGCGGAAAUCUGAUCCAUCACAAUCAAUGGAGGAAAAAACAGUUCAAUGCAGCUGGAUGUUGAUGCCCAAGGCAACCUUGAAGGGAAGCUGUUGAAGAUUCCCUGAAUCCCUGAAUGACUGCAUGGAGCAGAUCCUCUCCCACACUCCUGGUCUACGACUGAGAAUCACAACUGUGUUCAUGUAUAUUUAUCUGGUGAAUAGCAUUGUUAUGAUAGCUUUUACUUUCCACUUAUUUCUUUAUUCAUUCUUUAAUAAACACUUCUCAAACA